GGCAAAGAGAGAACAGCGAAAAGAUAACGUGCUAAUUUUUUCCUUCUAGAGACAGAAGCACAUCGGGGUCAUGAAAUUAUACCCUUUUUAUGGUGUUGCUGUCAUUUCUGCACUUCAACAAGGAGAAAGCAGAAAAAGAAAAAUAAAAAAGGAAAAGAAGUCAAACAUCAUUAAAUAGUCUGCAGAAAGAACUUUGAAGACAAAGGCUGAAGUGGGAGGUAAUGCCAGUCUGUUCCCCUG
rnacentral:lncRNA from 1 species